AUAGUAAAGGUUUCCAGCUACAAGGAGACACUUCGUUCUUUAUUUGUUAUGUUCAUUUCUGUUUUGGAAACACAGUCAGGCCUGUAAACAAUAUCAAAUAUCAUCGCACAGAAGGCGAAAACACGGCGUCUUUUUUGGGGGAAAAACAAACUCGAAAAGGCAUCCCAAGGCCCAGAGAACCUGAGAGAGGAUCCUCAUUGGCCAAGCCCCUUUCUGACAGCCCCGAUGCUGGUGCAAUCUGAAUGGCAUAAUAAGGAAACGAGGACAACCGCCGGCCGCCAUCUCACAGGCCAGGUCGAUUUCGGCGGUCUGCUGCUCGUUUGUCACUCGCUCUCUCUCCACUGAUCCCGCUCUGGAGUCAGAUGUCCAUCCUGCAGACAGAGCUGCGUGUGCCUAUUGUUCGCUACUGCACACGCUGUCAAGGAGAUCCAUAUCCAUCCAUAACCGGGGCUUUACUGGAGCUGAGACACAGCCCAUAAACUAAAGGCAGCUUCCCUGACUGCCGCACGAGGGAGGCUUUUAACGCCCCAGCCAGUAAAUGAUAUGCUGGAAAUGGCCUCCGGGGACAAUCUCUCAAAGUGAAGACGGCUGGUUGGAACGACAACACAGGACCGAACCCUCCGAGCUUAUUGGAGCUCUUUUUGACUGACAUCUGCUUAUAAUGACUUGAAGAAAACGUCACAGGGAAAGUCAAAUAAAAAAGGACCCCCUCCACCAGCUUAGGACAUUUACUGUAGAUUCAAGAUUCAAGGGAAUUAUGUUUCUGUUCUGCAUGGUCCCCUUAGAACUGCCUCUGACAAAGGGUUUCAUGCAGAGAGGUAUCGUUUUUAUGUUUCACGUUGCCUACACAGUGCAAAUAUUUAACAAAGCUGAGCCAAACACAGCUGUGGCGUCCAGAUGUGCAGGGGGAACGGAGCCGUACCUUUAAUGCCCUUUAAUGUGGCUGUGAAGCGUCGGUGCGAACAAAGGCAGUUGUGUCUUCACGGGGAAUUGAGGGUAACGUUGACGAAGACGUGCGCGGCUCAGAUUCAAUUAGCGUCACUCUAAGCGCGGCCUCAGCGAUGCUAUAAAUGUCACCGCCGCCUCCUUUCUGGAAUUAGCACGGGGCGAUAAAUCGCGGCAGACGCGGAACGGAGGUGGCGGGUUUUUUUGCGCGUAUUCCGUUCGCCUAUCCGGUGCGUCUGCGGGAGAGGCGGUGCGGUGCGCUGCCUGGCCUGUCUUACUCCCCGGCCCUCUUAGGCGCACAUCAAUCUUGGCAGGCCGGGGGGAGCCUUUCAGACGACGAGAGCCAGGAGGUUGCGUCUGGGGUGUGUCACGGCCAGGGGGCUGCUCUCUGUACAUUCUAUUGCCCGCCAGGUCACAGAAACAGGAUGUUGAUAAUAUCCUGUCAGCUUCUCUCUCUCUCUCUGUCUCUCUCUCUCUCUCUGACGCCGCACUGACAAAAAUUACGACCCUCUCGCCGCCCGUGGGCCCCGGCAGGCCCCGGCGCCCAGGUGCAUUGUGGGAUACCUUUCUGCGCUUCCCCGAGUGAACCUAGCGCUUCGGACUCCUAAAAUGGUGCAGUCCUUCUCCUGUGUUUGCAGUGGAUGUCCUCUUUCUCCCAGGAAAGCCACUGUCCAUAAACACACCAUGCAUCCUCAACCUCAAACCCGUAAAAGAUAAAUCCUUUGACCUCACGCAUCGUCAAUACAGGAAGAACUGGAUUUUUCUAAUUAAAGUAUGUCCUGUGUUGUACAUUUUGUGCAAUUAAUUGAAUCAGACGAGUGAAACACCUGGUAAUAUUUUUGGCACGGAAGGUAUUUGUUGAUGCAGUCAUUAUUAUUUUAUAUGCAGAAUGUAACUGCAGAUUUAUUAAGGAAAUGUUUAUAAAUAGCCAAUGUUUUGAGUGGUAAUACAAAUUAAUUUGGUUGAUUAUUAAUUACAAAUAUUUAAUCUGUAUUUAUAAUUUAUACACACGCAAAGUGCUGUCCAUAAGUAUUCAGACAGUGACAUAAUUUUUGUUAUUUUGGCUCUGUAAUCCAGUACAUUAGAUUUGAAAUGAAAAGAUGAAUAUGAGGUUAAAGUGUAGACUGCUAGCACCCAUAAGAGGGGAUCCAUGUAGAAAUGACUGCCUUUUUAAAACAACACAAGACCUUUAAUGGAGAAUAGUAGGAGACCAAAUGCUGGCCAGGAAUUCAUAAUAAUCAAAGAUUAUCUUCUAGAGUGGGUUUGGCAACAAGAAAUACAAAUAAAUCAUUUGCUAUUUUUCCAUUUUUCAACGAACAGAUUUCUGAAAUGUUUUAGAGAAGAAAUUGAUUUUUUACUGUCUUUUAAAUCAUUUUUAUUUUUGUUUUAGCUGAAUGAGGGCUGUUCUUUUUGUCUGUUUAUAGUUAUUAUAGUAUUGAAAAUUAUGUGUUUUGGGGAACGUACACAUUUGUGUAAUCUCACCUGUGAUGCUCUUAAUGAAAGCGUUGUUGGUUUUAAGGUCA